UCUGGCGGCAGUAGCGCGGUGGUCCCACCUGACCCCAUGCCGAACUCAGAAGUGAAACGCCGUAGCGCCGAUGGUCGUGUGGGGUCUCCCCAUGCGAGAGUAGGGAACUGCCAGAC
rnacentral:rRNA from 1 species